GUCGCACGAGAACGCUUCAGCUUGCUGAAGUAAGUAAAGUGGCGCACGGCCUGAGUAACGCGUGGGUAAUCUACCCUCAAAUUGGGGAUAACCCGCCGAAAGGCGGGCUAAUACCGAAUGAUAUCCUGAAAACUUAUGUUUUUAGGAUCAAAGGUGGCCUCUACAUGUAAGCUAUUGUUUGGGGAUGAGCCCGCGUACCAUUAGCUUGUUGGUAGGGUAAUGGCCUACCAAGGCUGCGAUGGUUAGCUGGUCUGAGAGGAUGAUCAGCCACACUGGAACUGACACACGGUCCAGACUCCUACGGGAGGCAGCAGUGAGGAAUUUUGCGCAAUGGGGGAAACCCUGACGCAGCAACGCCGCGUGAGUGAUGAAGGCUUUCGGGUCGUAAAGCUCUGUCAAGUGGGAAGAACUCAUAUGGUGUUAAUAUCGCCAUGUGCUGACGGUACCACUGAAGGAAGCACCGGCUAACUCCGUG
rnacentral:rRNA from 1 species